rnacentral:rRNA from 1 species
UACGAAGGGGACUAGCGUUGUUCGGAAUCACUGGGCUUAAAGCGUGUGUAGGCGGAUCGUUAAGUACCUUGUGAAAUCCCACGGCUUAACCGUGGAACUGCUCGGUAUACUGGCGGUCUUGAGCAACCUAGGGGCGAGCGGAACAAAUGGUGGAGCGGUGAAAUGCGUAGAUAUCAUUUGGAACGCCAAUGGUGAAAACAGCUCGCUGGGGGUUUGCUGACGCUGAGACACGAAAGCCAGGGGAGCAAACGGG